AACGAACGCUGGCGGCAUGCCUAACACAUGCAAGUCGAACGAAGCCUUCGGGCUUAGUGGCGCACGGGUGCGUAACGCGUGGGAAUCUGCCCUUGGGUUCGGAAUAACAGUUAGAAAUGACUGCUAAUACCGGAUGAUGUCUUCGGACCGAAGAUUUAUCGCCCAAGGAUGAGCCCGCGUAGGAUUAGGUAGUUGGAGGGGUAAUGGCCCAACAAGCCGAAAAUCCUUAGCGGGUUUGCGAGGAUGAUCAGCCACAUUGGGACUGAGACACGGCCCAGACUCCUCAGAGAGCCAGCAGUGAGGAAUAUUGGACGAUGGGGAAAAGCGUGAUCCAGCAAUGCCGCAUGAGUUAUGAAGGCCUUAGGGUUGUAAAGCUCUUUUACCAGGGAUGAUAAUGACAGUACCUGGAGAAUAAGCUCCGGCUAACUCCGUGCCAGCCGCAGCCGUAA
rnacentral:rRNA from 1 species